CAGGCUUAACACAUGCAAGUCGAGGGGCAUCAGGAAGAAAGCUUGCUUUCUUUGCCGGCGACCGGCGCACGGGUGAGUAACACGUAUCCAACCUGCCCUUUACUCGGGGAUAGCCUUUCGAAAGAAAGAUUAAUACCCGAUAGUAUAAUGAUUCCGCAUGGUUUCAUUAUUAAAGGAUUCCGGUAAAGGAUGGGGAUGCGUUCCAUUAGGUUGUUGGUGAGGUAACGGCCCACCAAGCCUUCGAUGGAUAGGGGUUCUGAGAGGAAGGUCCCCCACAUUGGAACUGAGACACGGUCCAAACUCCUACGGGAGGCAGCAGUGAGGAAUAUUGGUCAAUGGGCGCUAGCCUGAACCAGCCAAGUAGCGUGAAGGAUGAAGGCUCUAUGGGUCGUAAACUUCUUUUAUAUAAGAAUAAAGUGCAGUAUGUAUACUGUUUUGUAUGUAUUAUAUGAAUAAGGAUCGGCUAACUCCGUGCCAGCAGCCGCGGUAAUACGGAGGAUCCGAGCGUUAUCCGGAUUUAUUGGGUUUAAAGGGAGCGUAGGUGGACUGGUAAGUCAGUUGUGAAAGUUUGCGGCUCAACCGUAAAAUUGCAGUUGAUACUGUCAGUCUUGAGUACAGUAGAGGUGGGCGGAAUUCGUGGUGUAGCGGUGAAAUGCUUAGAUAUCACGAAGAACUCCGAUUGCGAAGGCAGCUCACUGGACUGCAACUGACACUGAUGCUCGAAAGUGUGGGUAUCAAACAGGAUUAGAUACCCUGGUAGUCCACACAGUAAACGAUGAAUACUCGCUGUUUGCGAUAUACAGUAAGCGGCCAAGCGAAAGCAUUAAGUAUUCCACCUGGGGAGUACGCCGGCAACGGUGAAACUCAAAGGAAUUGACGGGGGCCCGCACAAGCGGAGGAACAUGUGGUUUAAUUCGAUGAUACGCGAGGAACCUUACCCGGGCUUAAAUUGCAGUGGAAUGAUGUGGAAACAUGUCAGUGAGCAAUCACCGCUGUGAAGGUGCUGCAUGGUUGUCGUCAGCUCGUGCCGUGAGGUGUCGGCUUAAGUGCCAUAACGAGCGCAACCCUUAUCUUCAGUUACUAACAGGUCAUGCUGAGGACUCUGGAGAGACUGCCGUCGUAAGAUGUGAGGAAGGUGGGGAUGACGUCAAAUCAGCACGGCCCUUACGUCCGGGGCUACACACGUGUUACAAUGGGGGGUACAGAAGGCAGCUAGCGGGUGACCGUAUGCUAAUCCCAAAAGCCUCUCUCAGUUCGGAUCGAAGUCUGCAACCCGACUUCGUGAAGCUGGAUUCGCUAGUAAUCGCGCAUCAGCCACGGCGCGGUGAAUACGUUCCCGGGCCUUGUACACACCGCCCGUCAAGCCAUGGGAGCCGGGGGUACCUGAAGUACGUAACCGCAAGGAUCGUCCUAGGGUAAAACUGGUGACUGGGGC
rnacentral:rRNA from 1 species